rfam:Ornithorhynchus anatinus chromosome 5, whole genome shotgun sequence.
CCCCUCUCAGGGUCGCACCUGGAGAGUUUCCAGUACCCUACCAGUCUCGGCUACGGGAGGGAGAGUCAAGCGGAGGCCUGUCCAUUCCAUUCCUAGGUUAGUCAGUGGCUAGAGAGUGGAAGGCCAUCUGCUACAAGU